rnacentral:rRNA from 1 species
AUUGAACGCUGGCGGCAGGCCUAACACAUGCAAGUCGAGCGGAUGAAGGGAGCUUGCUCCUGGAUUCAGCGGCGGACGGGUGAGUAAUGCCUAGGAAUCUGCCUGGUAGUGGGGGAUAACGUCCGGAAACGGGCGCUAAUACCGCAUACGUCCUGAGGGAGAAAGUGGGGGAUCUUCGGACCUCACGCUAUCAGAUGAGCCUAGGUCGGAUUAGCUAGUUGGUGGGGUAAAGGCCUACCAAGGCGACGAUCCGUAACUGGUCUGAGAGGAUGAUCAGUCACACUGGAACUGAGACACGGUCCAGACUCCUACGGGAGGCAGCAGUCGGGAAUAUUGGACAAUGGGCGAAAGCCUGAUCCAGCCAUGCCGCGUGUGUGAAGAAGGUCUUCGGAUUGUAAAGCACUUUAAGUUGGGAGGAAGGGCAGUAAGUUAAUACCUUGCUGUUUUGACGUUACCAACAGAAUAAGCACCGGCUAACUUCGUG